CCCGCACAAGCGGUGGAGCAUGUGGUUUAAUUCGAAGCAACGCGAAGAACCUUACCAGGUCUUGACAUCCCCUGCAAAGCUAUAGAGAUAUAGUGGAGGUUAUCAGGGAGACAGGUGGUGCAUGGUUGUCGUCAGCUCGUGUCGUGAGAUGUUGGGUUAAGUCCCGCAACGAGCGCAACCCUUAUUGCUAGUUACCAUCAUUGAGUUGGGGACUCUAGCGAGACUGCCAGUGAUAAACUGGAGGAAGGUGGGGAUGACGUCAAAUCAUCAUGCCCCUUAUGACCUGGGCUACAAACGUGAUACAAUGGCUGGAACAGAGGGCAGCGAAGCAGUGAUGUGAAGCGAAACCCAAAAAUACAGUCUCAGUUCGGAUUGAAGUCUGCAACUCGACUUCAUGAAGUUGGAAUCGCUAGUAAUCGCGGAUCAGAACGCCGCGGUGAAUACGUUCUCGGGGUUU
rnacentral:rRNA from 1 species